UUAAGGCGAUGGACUGCUAAUCUAUUGGGGUUUCCCCGCGUGAGUUCGAAUCUCAUCCUGAUCG
rnacentral:tRNA from 1 species